rnacentral:rRNA from 1 species
GCGUGGAGACAGGUGGUGCAUGGCUGUCGUCAGCUCGUGUCGUGAGAUGUUGGGUUAAGUCCCGCAACGAGCGCAACCCUCACCCCUUGUUGCCAUCAGGUGACGCUGGGCACUCUAGGGGAACUGCCCCGGUCAACGGGGAGGAAGGUGGGGAUGACGUCAAGUCAUCAUGCCCCUUACGCCCUGGGCUACACACGUGCUACAAUGGCCGGUACAAAGGGAUGCAAUACCGCGAGGUGGAGCUAAACCCAGAAAGCCGGUCUAAGUUCAGAUUGGAGUCUGCAACUCGACUCCAUGAAGGAGGAAUCGCUAGUAAUCGCGCAUCAGCACGGCGCGGUGAAUACGUUCCCGGGCCUUGUACACACCGCCCGUUACACCACGAAAGUCAGCUGUACUCGAAGUCGCUGAG